CCGAACACGGUAGUUAAGCUUCUCUGCGCCAAUGGUAGUUGGGGGCUUCCCCCUGCGAGAGUAGGUCGCUGCCGGGC
rnacentral:rRNA from 2 species